CCAAUAGCGUAUAUUAAAGUUGUUGCAGUUAAAAAGCUCGUAGUUGAAUUUCGGGGUCGGUAGGGUGGUCGUGCCACUGGUAGGUACGGGGCUUACUGAUUCCUCCUUCCUGAUGAACUGUAAUGCCAUUAAUUUGGUGUUGCAGGGAAACUGGACUGUUACUUGGAAAAAAUUAGAGCGUUGAAAGCAGGCUAACGCUUGAAUACAUUAGCAAGGAAUAAUGAAAUAGGACGUUCGAUCCUAUUUUGUUGGUUUCUAGGAUUGACGUAAUGAUUAAUAGGGAUAGUUGGGGGCAUUAGUAUUCAAUUGUCAGAGGUGAGAUUCUUGGAUUUAUUGAAGACUAACUACUGCGAAAGCAUUUGCCAAGGAUGUUUUCAUUAAUCAAGAACGAAAGUUAGGGGAUCGAAGACGAUCAGAUACCGUCGUAGUCUUAACCAUAAACUAUGACGACUAGGGAUCGGAUGAUGUUAAUUUUUUAAUGACUCAUUCGGCGCCUUACG
rnacentral:rRNA from 1 species